rnacentral:lncRNA from 1 species
AUGGGGUGGAACCAGCUUGGCUCUGCCUUCCUGAGCUGUCAAAGUGCAACUGAGGAAGCUGGACUCAUUUCAGCGAGGCGGGGUGAUUUCCUCGCCACAGAAAAGUCGGAGAGCAGAAAGUCAGACUCGGCUGAUGCUUUUGGAUUAUCCUUCCUCUUCCCCUCCUGCUUCUGCACAGCUGCCCAGCCGCUCAUCUGCUUUGUUUUGCUGCUUUUUUUCUCCAGGCUGCUGCUUCCGACUCGCUGGAGUGGUGAUGCUGGGAGAUCUCCCUUGGAAAGACCCCCACCGAGGAAAGGGACAUGAUGGCUUGAGGUAAGUGGAGAGACCAUGGGCGGGUCGUGGGUGAGAUGCUUUACUCGCCUUUUGCUCCUGGGCAUCCGGCUCCCAGUAGCCAGGCCAGGCUACCAGCAGAUGGUCCAGGGAAGCCACCGGACCUCUUCUGUGCGGCCCAGGGCUCGUGCACCUUUUUGCUCUGCUCAAGUGCCUUUUGCACAGGCGGAAGCCGAAGGCUCUCUCUUUCCAGCGUGCCUCUGGGGGGACUCUUAGGGAGUCUGGCUUGAAGACAGCUCUCUGCAGAGGGAGGAAAGGCCAGGUGGUACCUCUGAUGCUUCCCUCCUGCAAGUCCCUGCCCUUCUUGAGCUUCCAGCAGCUGCUGGACCAGGACUGAGUGUGAGGGUCAGCCACAUCCUACUGCUCAAGACUAUACGGGAUAUCCAACCCAACUGUCAAAAGGACACCAGUUUUGCAGAGCUGUGUCCAAAACGGGGAGUAGGAAACAUUUUGAGUGUUGAAGCCUAGCAGCUGAAACUCAACUUGUGCUAAGCACAGAAAAGACCCUUCUUCAGCAUUGUGUCGUAGAAUGAAUCCAUACAAUGUUAAGCUCAAGAAGAUCUUUAAAAAGGCAAUGUUAGAUCAACACCUGCCAUACAAACACUGACUCCUUGUGUUUUGGUAACAGCGUGGUUGGCAUAGAGAUCUGAAGGUGCUGAAACCUUGUCCAAAUUGUCAGCCAGAACAUGAUUCUUGGUCCCUGAGGUUGUUUCUGUGAACUGUGUGGAUUCUGAUGAACAGUGCAGCUUCAGGAAAGAGAGCCCUCGACUGUGUACAUAUGGUGCAAUAUUUAGUCCUCCUGUA